rnacentral:rRNA from 1 species
GCUACAGGCUUAACACAUGCAAGUCGAGGGGCAGCAUUUUAGUUUGCUUGCAAACUGAAGAUGGCGACCGGCGCACGGGUGAGUAACACGUAUCCAACCUGCCGAUAACUCCGGAAUAGCCUUUCGAAAGAAAGAUUAAUACCGGAUAGCAUACGAAUAUCGCAUGAUAUUUUUAUUAAAGAAUUUCGGUUAUCGAUGGGGAUGCGUUCCAUUAGUUUGUUGGCGGGGUAACGGCCCACCAAGACUACGAUGGAUAGGGGUUCUGAGAGGAAGGUCCCCCACAUUGGAACUGAGACACGGUCCAAACUCCUACGGGAGGCAGCAGUGAGGAAUAUUGGUCAAUGGGCGGGAGCCUGAACCAGCCAAGUAGCGUGAAGGAUGAAGGCUCUAUGGGUCGUAAACUUCUUUUAUAUGGGAAUAAAGUUUUCCACGUGUGGAAUUUUGUAUGUACCAUAUGAAUAAGGAUCGGCUAACUCCGUGCCAGCAGCCGCGGUAAUACGGAGGAUCCGAGCGUUAUCCGGAUUUAUUGGGUUUAAAGGGAGCGUAGGUGGAUUGUUAAGUCAGUUGUGAAAGUUUGCGGCUCAACCGUAAAAUUGCAGUUGAAACUGGCAGUCUUGAGUACAGUAGAGGUGGGCGGAAUUCGUGGUGUAGCGGUGAAAUGCUUAGAUAUCACGAAGAACUCCGAUUGCGAAGGCAGCUCACUAGACUGUCACUGACACUGAUGCUCGAAAGUGUGGGUAUCAAACAGGAUUAGAUACCCUGGUAGUCCACACAGUAAACGAUGAAUACUCGCUGUUUGCGAUAUACAGUAAGCGGCCAAGCGAAAGCAUUAAGUAUUCCACCUGGGGAGUACGCCGGCAACGGUGAAACUCAAAGGAAUUGACGGGGGCCCGCACAAGCGGAGGAACAUGUGGUUUAAUUCGAUGAUACGCGAGGAACCUUACCCGGGCUUAAAUUGCAACAGAAUAUAUUGGAAACAGUAUAGCCGUAAGGCUGUUGUGAAGGUGCUGCAUGGUUGUCGUCAGCUCGUGCCGUGAGGUGUCGGCUUAAGUGCCAUAACGAGCGCAACCCUUAUCUUUAGUUACUAACAGGUCAUGCUGAGGACUCUAGAGAGACUGCCGUCGUAAGAUGUGAGGAAGGUGGGGAUGACGUCAAAUCAGCACGGCCCUUACGUCCGGGGCUACACACGUGUUACAAUGGGGGGUACAGAAGGCGGCUACCUGGUGACAGGAUGCUAAUCCCAAAAACCUCUCUCAGUUCGGAUCGAAGUCUGCAACCCGACUUCGUGAAGCUGGAUUCGCUAGUAAUCGCGCAUCAGCCAUGGCGCGGUGAAUACGUUCCCGGGCCUUGUACACACCGCCCGUCAAGCCAUGAAAGCCGGGGGUACCUGAAGUACGUAACCGCAAGGAGCGUCCUAGGGUAAAACUGGUAAUUGGGGCUAAGUCGUA